rnacentral:rRNA from 1 species
AUGGAUGGGCUUCUGCAUUGGGACUUCUCCCCCGGCCUUGCGGAAACGGCUCAGGUGCGUCGUCGCUUUGGAUUUACCGUUCACUUCUCAAACUCUGGUACGACCAAGGAAUUAUUCUUGGUUGUUAGCUUCUCCUCGGCCUCCUUCCCUCUCAAUGAAGAAUCGGUGGCCAUUGCAUUACAAUGUUGCAUUAAUGGUUUGCCCACGGGACUACAUGUCCAUCAUUUGGAGGGCAGAAAGUUUCAGUUCUCAGUUGCUUCUAAUCGUGUUGGUCAUUUCAUCUAUGGGCUUAAGUAUAGAGUAUGGCCGGAUUUUGUAUGGCAUUUCAGUCUCUUCCGACCAGCCAUUCAUGUACCCACGGAAAACCCAUUGACUUGGCACCUGGAUCAAACCAACCAUGAAGUCAUGGUUAGAUCUCCUGUAGCAGUCAAAACGCAUUAUCUAUCUGCUCGUGAGGUUGGAGGUGUUGAUGCAGCAUCCUUGGAGACUCUUUCAAAAGUGGGUUUUUCGCCGUCCACCGAUCGGACAUGUGCUAUGACGGUGACGGCUAGCCGACAGCCGCCGGCGAGCCAACAUGAUCCACCUGAUUUGGGACAUUUACUAACAUAUAAUGAGCAUUUAUUGCAAAAAUUCCUUGGUCUUCGGAGCAAUUCAAAUUAA